rnacentral:rRNA from 1 species
UGAACGCUGGCGGCGUGCCUAAUACAUGCACGUCGAGCGAACAGACGCGGAGCUUGCUCCUCUGACGUUAGCGGCGGACGGGUGAGUAACACGUGGAUAACCUACCUAUAAGACUGGGAUAACUUCGGGAAACCGGAGCUAAUACCGGAUAAUAUAUUGAACCGCAUGGUUCAAUAGUGAAAGACGGUUUUGCUGUCACUUAUAGAUGGAUCCGCGCCGCAUUAGCUAGUUGGUAAGGUAACGGCUUACCAAGGCAACGAUGCGUAGCCGACCUGAGAGGGUGAUCGGCCACACUGGAACUGAGACACGGUCCAGACUCCUACGGGAGGCAGCAGUAGGGAAUCUUCCGCAAUGGGCGAAAGCCUGACGGAGCAACGCCGCGUGAGUGAUGAAGGUCUUCGGAUCGUAAAACUCUGUUAUUAGGGAAGAACAAAUGUGUAAGUAACUAUGCACGUCUUGACGGUACCUAAUCAGAAAGCCACGGCUAACUACGUG